CAAACAAGUUAAAGCUUUAUGUUAGCUAGCUAGCUGAUGUUAGAUGACUGGCUUGCCAUCUAACAUUAUGUGUAUGACCUGUGUGUAGUGAUAUCUCAGAAUCUCAUUUGGUAUCUAUAGUCAAAUAAUCCUAAAAUAUUUGUACCUGGAAUUUGUCAUUCGGCAUCAGUAGAACACGCCUGACUCUCCUCCACCGGUCAUACAAGGAGAAUGGUCUGAUGCCUCCCAUCAAAAAGAGAGCUGGCCCAAGCAAGCACAGGUUACACCUGAAGCAUGAGGACUUGCAGCGAGUGGUGAACUUUAUCAACAACUAUGCAGAGGAAAAUGCAAUAGUAUUACCAGGACGUCACCCACACAAACACUUAGGUGGAAAGCUGCUGCCAUCCCAUGUGAAAGUGCAGCAGUGUGGCGUCUGUACAAUGAAUCAUUGACAACACUUGGCUGCCUUCCUUCAGGAAUCUGUGGAAAAAAUUGCUGCCCCACAUCUCAAGCACUAAGCUCAGCACAGACCUGUGCUGGCAGUGCCAGAGGAACAACUAUCAGGUCUUCAGAUCUGCCAAUCUGCCAGAAGAUGUUAAGUCAGCCAAGCUGAAGAAGCAAGAGCAGCAAGAGCAGCAUCUCCUGCUUGUUCAGAGUGAGUGGUCUGUCUACCAGAAGACGGUUGCUGACCGCACCUGUCAAGACCUGCAGUUACCUCUGGGGGCCCUACUGAACCAGCAAGCAAAGACAUCAGGAUGCAUUACAGCUUUGAUUUUGUUCAACAAGUCCACUAGCCUGCAGCCAGGUCCCAUCUACUUCUUUACUCCUCGGAAGUGUGGUGUCUGCUGUGAAGGAAUACCACAUAAGUCAACUACUUGAUUGAUGAAGGCAUGUUGUCCAGCAAAGUGAAGGACAGCACUCUGACAGGGGUCAACAUCCCACAGCUGGUUGGACUGGAGGAUGGUACGGUGCUGGUGGAAAGCCAUAGCUGAAAACAACACCUGACUCUCUACUUCAGGCCGCUGCUACAGAUCAAACAGUACCAGCACUUCACGUGAAUAUCAUUGUCAUUGCAUUGUAUGAGGUUAUUCUUCUUCUUAUCUAAACUUGUGAGGUGAAUUGAUUUUGUGCAAAGUUGUAAUGACUUCUCAAUUUAUUUAGUUAUUUCCUGUUUUACAGCUUUGAUGCUCUGGAGCCUGGUGUUGUCGGCAAGGAGCGUUCGGACUCAGUCAGGACCAGGUUUCAGCAGCUGUGCAACACUGACAUCCUUCCUCCCAUAGAUGGUCUGCCGGUUUAUUAAUAUAAGGAUUUUGAAAUUAUUUUUUAUUUUAAUUUUGAAACUUAAGUAAAUUUUAUUAAUUCCAUUUACUUUUGAUACUUAAGUAUUUUUAACACAAAAUACUUUUAGACUUUUUCUCAAGUAGUAUUUUAACGGGUGACUUUCACUUGAGUCAUUUUCUUUUAAAGCUAUCUUUACUUUUACUGAAGUAUGACAAUUUUGUACUUUUUACACCAUUGGAUUUGGCUGGGGGUUAUAGCAUUUCUUUCACAUGACCCAUCAAUUUAGAUAAAAGCAUCAUCUAAUAUUUAUAAAAUAUUUUUCUAUAGACUACUACUUUUACAAUUUUUUUGUCUUAAUCUUCUCUACACUACUCACUGUUUAGCACAUGACCUCACAUGUGAAUCCUUAAGGAGGUGCGUGGGGUUGGCUUAAGAGGGUGUGAACAUUGCUGAAUGGGUGUAGACAAAGGAGAGCUCCCCAGUAGGUACCAAAACAUUCAAAGGCCAUUUUCUCAAAAGUGAGCUUACAAGUUUGUCAUCUUUCAAAUACAUUAUUCCUCAAAAAUGCAGUGUAUGAUAUACCAUUUUGUAGCUCUGAGUCUCUGCUUUUAUCCAAUGUAAAAAACAAUUUAAAAUUUAGCUACAUAAGACCGACCGGCUCAAAGCGAUCUUAUGUGGCAAGUAGGCUAUGUCCUCCAAUAUAGUUUUACAGUGUGUGCUUGGGCCUACCAAUCAACAGGAUAUAAAACCUUCCUGUUUUCUGUUCUUUAUUUUAGAGCUGACCUUUCCACUACUUCUCACAAUGAGCAGAUUUGCUCAGUUAGUGUUUUCCCUCAUACACUGUCUUGUUAUACUUGGUACUGUCUCACUAUGCUCCCUACUGUCUAUCUUUCACUUAUGCCAAUUAAUGGUGUCCUGUUUAAUCCGCUGCAUUAUUUAUUUUAUUUUACCUUUAUUUAACUAGGCAAGUCAGUUGAGAACAAAUUCUUAUUUUCAAUGACGGCCUAGGAACAGUGGGUUAACUGCCUUGUUCAGGGGCAGAACGACAGAUUUGUACCUUGUUAGCUCAGAGAUUUGUACCUUGUUAGCUCAGAGACGCUACGCUGCACAACAUUGCUCUAUAGUUCAGAGAUGAUUUUAUUGCAUGUUUUUCUGCUAUCCGUUUUAAACUGAUGUCUGUUGGAAAUCAAACCAAAUUGGGGUAGAGUUGCAGUGCACGAUAGGUGUGAGUCCUGUGCGUCUGUCUGUGCACACUGUCUGUCUAUAUCGAGGAGGGCCCUGUCUGUAUUAUGUUAGUGUUUCCUGUGGCUGCUGGCUGCUGGCUUUACACUGAGCCAUGGAGCCUGCAGACCUGGUCUUCAGAAAAGGUUAGCAAAGGGUCAACGCUUUUUUCACUUUGCUCUAGUGCAGCAAAUGAAUACCUUCUCUCUCUACACACACAGGGACACACAUGGAUGGACGGACACACACACACAGACACACACACACACCAAUACUAACACGAAUCAUUGGAUUUUCAAAUAAAAUAUUCCCUGAGUCAGUAGCUAUCUGGCGACACGUUUCAAUGGUCAUUGUUAAAUCUAGUCGACGAGCUAACCGAAUAUUCUCAAGGUUAUAGAUCCACACACAGGCGUCCACACGCUGAGGGCUCUAGACAUUACUGGUGUCUGUGUGCCAUAUGGUGUCUCUAGAGGUGGGGGUCAGCAGGUGAGUACAGACAGACGGACAGAUGCCCCUGUAGGGGAUCUAGACUGUUGGGCUUGUGGAGGAUAGAGCAUAUUACCCUCUAGCCCACACAGUUAUAUUCAACUCAAAUGUCUGCAUAAAGACAGGCAGCAGUAGGGCAUAUUCUCACUUCAAGAAUACAGUACGCUGUUGGCAACAACAGAAAAAAUCCUAGUCUCAAAACAAAUAUAUGUGAUAAUGAGAGGCAAGUAAGGCGCUAUGGAAGAAAAAAAACGCCCACUCACCAAAUACAAAUAGAUCUAUCACAGUAACCCCCAGGUAUUGUAUUCACACUUCUCUGCUUAUCUGCUGCGUCUAUAUGGGUGACAUUGCACCAUUUUGUUUUUCUGUUAAAAUCUUUUUUUUUUUCACCCCCCCCUGUUCUGUGACUUGUUGUUGAAGUGUUGUUGGAACCUGUUUCUCCUCUUUUCUCUCUCGCACUCUCUGUCGGCUAGAAGGUGAUACGUGGGUGGAUUGAUGUGAUAUACAGUAGUGCUUGUGCUCAGUUGCUCAUUGCGUUGACAACAGCCUUGUCAGUCUGAUGGCUCUCUCUUCUGCAAGCUCCAAAACCUCUAUGACUACAUUCUGUUAGCUCUAUGACUUGGUACAGGAGAGGGGUGAUCUGAGGGAAAUUGGAUUUCAUGGAUGUGAACUUUGUAUAACUUAGCUGUAGUGAUUCAAUGAAUGUACAUUUGCCUAUAUGGUAUAUGCGGCAUCAGAAUGAUUUAACUUGAAUUCUACGUUUUAGUCAAGGAUAGGUAAUCGCAAGCCUCAUAGACGGAACCUUAUGGACUGCAUGUCUGACUGGCAUCACUAGUGAAAUAUCACUGCCAUUGUUCUGAGUUCGUAUUGAGUGACACAAAUUGUUUGCAUGGCUAAUAUUUUGUACUUCUGCUUGGCCAUCUGUGCGUGUGUGUGUGUUUCCCUUCUCUUUUAUUGCAUGUUGCUGAUCUCUGUCAAGUGACUACAUGGCCUUUUAUUUCUGGUGUCUGGUUUCAAUACCGCAACAUAAUAACAUGUUUGGGACAGAGAGUGGAGGAGAGCAUAAGAGAG